AACGAACGCUGGCGGCAGGCUUAACACAUGCAAGUCGAACGCUCCGCAAGGAGAGUGGCAGACGGGUGAGUAACACGUGGGAACGUACCCUUUACUACGGAACAACUCCGGGAAACUGGAGCUAAUACCGUAUGUGCCCUUCGGGGGAAAGAUUUAUCGGUAAAGGAUCGGCCCGCGUUGGAUUAGCUAGUUGGUGGGGU
rnacentral:rRNA from 1 species